CGUUGGGCAGGUGGGGCAGCAGGUGGGCGCACUGGAGCUGAGGGAUAACAGGUGGAACAAACUGGGGACUACACUCGUGGGCGCACGUGCGGAGGAGGGACUGAGGCGGCUCCUGCGUGCUCCCCUCGCGCAACGCCGACUGCUUCAACCGUACCUCCCGCGGCCGGCACCGCUGACUCCUACCGCUCCGCUUACUGCGCGCCCUCCGCCCUCGUGCAGCCAGCUCCCAGCCGAGUCCGCGCGAGGGCCAGGCUACAGACCUGCCCGCGGGCAGCUGGCGGUUGGGGAGGGCGUUGGGAGGAGCCCCGCCCCGGUGGACGCGCGCUCUUCAGUGGCAGAGGCGGCGGCGAGGCCUGAGCGAGUUGAACUUCCUCUCUUUUUAGAAGAAUGGAUUUCUCGGAGGCCAAAAAAUUUAUGGUUCUUCUUUGGAAGAAUUUUAUUUUAAAGGUAAGUUGAACUACCUAUAGGGUUAUUCCAACAGCUCAGAGGCCACAGGGGGAAAUUCUGACAGCUUGAUCAUUGAAUUUCAACUUUUACUGUUUUACUUUUUUCAGUACGAAGGCUGGGUUAUCUCUGCCAAAUAUAGAGUUCUCCCAGAGGGAGAUAAUAGCAGGCUGUUAUGUAGAAAGCAGAAAAAAGACAGUCCAGGAAACUCCUGCUAUUAUAGAGUGAAGCUGUGUUUUUGGCAACCUAUAUAUUCUUUUAUAAAGUAUCUUUUAUCUUAAUAUAAAAGAAUUAUACACAAUACAGGACUAUUCAGCCAUGAAAAAUAAUGAGAUCCUCUCAUUUGCAACAAUAUAGAUGGAACUGGAGGUCAUUAUGUAAAGUGAGAUAAGCCAGGCACAGAAAGACAAACUUUGCAUGUUCUCACUUAUUGGUAGAAACUAAAAAUUGAAACAAUUGAACUCAUGGAGAUGGACAGUAGAAGGAUGGUUAACAGAGGCCGGGAAGGGGUAGCUUGGGGUAGGUAAGGGGGAAGUGGAGAUGGUUAAUGGGUACAAAAAAUAGAAAGCAUGGAUAAGACAUAGUAUUUGCUAGCACAACAGAAUGACUAGAGUCAAAAAUAAUUUGAUCGUACAUUUAAAACUAUCUAAAAGAGUAUAACUGGAUUGUUUGUAACAUAAGGGAUAAAUGCUUGAGGGAAUGGAUACCCAAUUUACCUUGAUGUGAUGAUUAUGCAUUGUGUGCCUGUAUCAAAAUAUCUCAUGUAACCCAUAAAUACAUAUACCUGCUAUGUACCCACGAAAAUUAAAAAUUAAAAAAAAUUCAAAAAUGAACUUGCAAAGUUAAUAACCUCUUAGGACAAUUAACAUAAUCUUUUUUCUUCUUCUUCUAGAGGCGGCGAU
rnacentral:lncRNA from 1 species